GGUCCAGCUCUGGAGAGAGGAAGAAGAAGGUGGCUGGAGUUAUGUGGAAACUCAGAGGAGUGAGAAGAAAAGAGGCCAUAGUAAGGGGCUCUAGCGAGCAAUGGGCGAGAAUAAAUGGAUGCAAAACAUCCGUGCACCAGGCAAAUGGUCAAUAACAGUAGUGCUGUCUAUCAAGUCAUUCCUGGCGACACUGAAGGGCGAAGAUGCUCAGAGCAGAAGAUUAAGUUCAGCGUACCUCAUCCUGGGAUAAGAAAAAAAGGAACCACCUUCCAGUUAGCUGGCCAGCAACUGUGGCCCAUGUUUGCAAAUGCCAACGUGGAUUUGUGACUGGCAUCUGAAGUGGAGGGCAGCCUUGUAGGAGUGAGCCUUUAAACUGGGGAUCUGACACUAUCUCCAGGUAGAUGGUGUCAGAAUUGAGCUGAAAUGUAGGAUACCCAGCUGAUGUCAGGGAACUGCUUGGUAAGAGGCAAUACCCCACACAUUGGACUUGGGUUCAAACUCUUGGCUUCUUUCCAGUCUACCACUAUAGAACUGUGCUCUCAAGGAGUUUCUCAUGCUCAGCUGAAACUUAGUUGAAAGUUAAGGCUCAUUUUUGUAGGCAAAAGAAGAAGAGCAAUUAAAGGCUUUCGUUUUGGAAUCAGAAUGUCUAGGUGUGGCUUUUGGAUCUGUCCAAUUUCUAUGACAUUAAGCAACUAAAACCCUCUAAACUUUAGUCCUCUUCUCAGAAAAUGGUAAUUGUAUUUACCUCAUAGGAUUGCUGAGGUUAAAUGAGAUGAUGUGUUCAAAGAAUUUGGCACAGAGCAGGAUGUAGAGUAGGCAUAAAUAAAUAUUAGAAAUUAUGUAUAAGGACCUUACCUACCACUCUUCAAUAGUCUUAGGGAAGUCUGAGUUAUUUAUGUUCCACUUUGUUAAGAAAGAGAGAUUCUGGGUCUAACGAAUUGAUGACUUUGAGCAGAAAAACUCAAAUUUAUCUUAACUAAAAGUUUCCAACAAUUGGGACAUAUUUCAUGUCUUCAGA